rnacentral:lncRNA from 1 species
UGCUUAGAACCCAUGGAUGGAUUUACACUAACCGCUCUGGCUUUCCAGGUUCUCUGACUCUUGACAGGUCAGAAAUGAAGUUUGUGCAUGGAUGCCAGUCUGUGGAUCACAUUUCGAGUAGCACUGCUUUGACCCAUUUGUACCUGGAUCGCACAUUUUGGCAGGAGACAUCUGAAAUAUACAGUCAAAUGAGCUAUCCCAACCAACGUGGAUCAGAGAGCGAGGUGGGAUUGGGACCCUGCAACUAGGAUCAGCCGUGCAGUACCUCCUGUUUGGGCUAAGCAGGAUGGAGUGCUUCUUGCAUUGUCUACAGGCGCUGGAGGAGGCUGCUUAAUGGGCUGAAGAAAGGAAGGCUCAUCCUCCAUUUAGAAGGCCACAUCCCCAUGGGUGAAAUAUUUCACAGGUAGGUGUGCCAAUUUGAAAGAGGGAUAAAUGGGGCUGGGGAAGGUAGGUAUGAGAUAAAUACCUGAGAUACUUCUUUCAGCCUAGAGAAGAUUAAGGAGCAACCUAAGGAGCUGGACAUUUUCAUUGGAACCAAUGAAAUGAUAGAAGUUGGGGAUUCUAUCUUUUGGACUGCUGAAAAUCAACCAUUGUUUGUUGAGUAGCAAGGUGUUUGAAGGUCAGGGAUGUUUAGGUUAUAAAGUCAGCAAAUCCAUCACAAAGUUGGUAAAUUUAAAAAAAUAUUGUGUGUGGAGGUUUGGUGGUCAUACUCCAUAUAAAUAAAAUCGGGCAGAACUUGGAGUGUGAGAGCAGAUGAAUGCUUCAUAGAGAACUGCCUACUCUGAUGUUUUUGAUGCUCAGAUGGUCUUGACUUCUUGGCCUUUGGUAACCAGCCAGGGGACAGAGUGUUACAGCUGUGGAUUGCAAUGUGAUAUUUCAGUGGAAGGCGACUACCCACAUGUGGACCAAGAUACCCUGAUUUAUGUUGGUUGUUCAAAUUACUCUUUACAUUGUGCUAGAGGAACACACUGUGCUUCCCAUGACCACACUAUGGUAUAACAUUAAGUCCAAGUUCAAGGUUCUUUACUGAGUGUGUGACUCCAUAUCAUUCCUCUCAGAAAAUUUGGGAAGAAAACCAAAAGUGGGUUUGCCUUCCUCUUCCAGGCAGAGCCAGCCAUGGCCUUGGCUAGUUGGAAUUCCACAGGAAAAAGGUCACAAUAUCCUGAUUUUCAGACCAGGCUUAUGAGGCCUGAAUUGUUAUCUGCUAAGCCAGAAGGGCUAUCUAAAAUUGUGAAACAAUAAUAACUAUCAGUGAGCACAGUUCUCACUAUGUGUUAGGCUCUGUUCUGAGUGCUUUCUAUUUAUUGGUAAUUCUCAUUCUAACUCUUUGAGGAUUAUGAUAAUAUAACAAAAAUAAUGACAACAUUUAGUUCUAAUAACAUGUCUCCCAAACUCCCCCUACAAAGAAAGCCUCCAGAGCAAACUGAUAAAGAGACAGACACUGCAGACCCGGGGUUUAGAACCUGGUCUACCAUUAAUUUGUUUGUGUGACUUGGGUAGGUUGCUUAAUCUCUCUGUGCAUUAUUAUCUUGUAUGGAAAAUGUGGGAUCAUAACAGUAUGUGCCUCAUAAGAUUGCUGAAGAAAUUAAAUUUAUUUCUUUGCCCUUAGAACCAGUGCAUAGAAAACACUAUAUAAAUGUCUGCCAUUAAUAUUGUUAUUUCAGGGAGAAUUGGAUAAAGAAAGGUUGAUGGUUGACUGUUUCCUAUAGUUUCUAUAAGUAAAACAGAAGACAGGCCUAUUGAUAAUAAUACAAAUUAAUAACAUCAUACUGCCUUACACAUGGUAGUAGCUUUGAAGUAGAGCCUGGAGGUUGAGCCAGAAAACCUGAAUUCAAAUUUGACUCCCAGUUACAAACUGUAUGACCUUAGGCAAGUUACUUAACCUCUUUGUGCUUUAGUUACCAUGUCAGUAAAAUGAUAAUGGUAAUAAUAAUAGCUACCACGUAGGGUUGUUGUCAGGCUUAAAUGAGCAAAUCCAUGUAAGUAAAGUAGUUAUAUCAGGCCUUGGACUAUAGUAAGUGCUACCUACUAGCUACUAUAUGAAGAAGGUAUCUUAGGCAUUUUUAAAAACCUCUUUAGCUUUCUUCUUCUUUUUCUCUGUAUCAGCUAGUCCUCACACAAUAAUAACUCUUUCCUCAAUGAGAUUUGAAGAAGUCUCUCUAAUUCAACAUUUUUUUCAUUUUUUAAAUUUCAAAUAUAGUUGAUGUACAGUGUUGAGUUUGUUUCAUGUGUACAGCAAAGUGAUUCAGUUAGGCAUAUACCCAUAUCCAUUCUUUUCCAGACUCUCUUCCCAUAUAGGUUAUCAUAUAAUAUUGAGUUCCCUGUGCUCUAGAGCAGGUCCCCCUUGACCAUCCAUCCAUUCCAUAUGCAAUCAUGUUUAUAUACCAAUCCCCAAAUCCUAGUCCAACCUUCCCUCCUUUCUCCUUUAGUAACUGUAAGUUUGUUUUCUAUGUCUGUGAUUCUGUUUCUCUUUUGUAAGUAAGCUCAUUUAUACCUUUUUUCUUUUUUUUGAAUAAUACCCUAGCCUGGGAACUUCCAUAUGCCACAGGUGCGGCCCUAAAAAGAUAAAAAGAAAAAAAAAGAAAAAAAAGAAAAUAUGUGUAUCUAACACUUUUCCAAGUGAUGUGAUGGUGUGGUCCAAGGCCCACACUUUGAGAAGCACUAAGAUCAGUAAUCCGGGAGUUCCCAUUGUGGCUCAGUGGUAAAAGAUCUGACUAGCAUCCAUGAUGAUGUGGGUUCGAACCCUGGCCUCGCUCAGUGGGUUAAGGAUCUGGCAUUGCCAUGAUCUGUGGUGUAGAUUACAGAUGUGGCUCAGAUUUGGCCUUGCUGUGGCUCUAGCCAGCAGUUGUGACUCUUAUUCAUCCCCUAGAGAGGGAACAUCCAUAUGCCACAUGUGUGACUCUAAAAAGAAAAAAAAAAAAA